rnacentral:rRNA from 1 species
CAUACGGUGGAUGCCUUGGUACGAGAAGGCGAUGAAGGACGCGACUACCUGCGAUAAGCCAUGGAGAGGUGGAAAUAACCUUGGACCCAUGGAUUUCCGAAUGGGGCAACCCCCUCAGAGUAAUGUCUGAGGAGCCAUAUUUGAAUACAUAGAAUAUGAGCGGCAAACCCAGGGAACUGAAACAUCUAAGUACCUGGUGGAUAAUAAAGCAAAUGCGAUUUCCUUAGUAGUGGCGAGCGAAACGGAAACAGUCUAAACCAGUCUACGCUAUACGGGCGGCAACCUUGCGUAGACGGUGUCGUGGGGCCUUUCAGAGUCGAUUGCCGGAGACUCGAGGAGUCAAAAACCAUAUUGUGAAUUGAAUUCUUCUGGAAAGAUGAACCAUAGAAGGUGAUAGUCCUGUAAGUGAAGCAAUGUGGCUCCUUGGAAAGGUACCCCAAGUACUACGGAGUAAGUGGAAGUCCGUAGGAAUCUGGGAGAACCAUCUCCUAAGACUAAAUACUCUCUCGUA